AGGGAGUAUACACAUUACAUAACUCCCAGAAUUAAAAUUUAAAUGUUUAUAUCUUCAUUGUACUAAGCGACAAUUAAAUUCUAGGUCAAAUAAGACUCCGAACCACAGAUUGAGGAUUUAUUCAUUCUCUAUCUAAAGUAAUUUUUAAUAAAUUAAAAGAUACAUCAACUAGUCACAAAUCAAAAUUUCAGCAAACACAGAUCAACAAACAAACGUUACUUCCUUAAAAGAAAGGUAGUACAUACAAACGAUAACGAAAUCGACAAGAACAAUUCAUCACCGCCAAAUGAGAACUUAAUUAUACACGAGAAUGUUAAGAUUUACAUACCAGCAAUCCUCUUCACGAAUUCGGCAAACCAAAUAACGUAAUUUGCCACUAUUAGCUUCACUUCUUUCCAUUCUCUUGAAGCAAAGUUCUUAAAAACUUAAAAGGAGAUAAAAAGAAAGUGGUUCGAGGAAUGGAGAUUGAUUUUCCUUACCACCGUACAAUAACUCUAAAGUUUGCGACUUUAAAGUUUGUUGAAACACAAAAGUAUAUAAAGAGUGAGAUGGAUGAGUCUGGGGUGACGUCAGCGUGUUGACGUAGCUUAAAGAAAAUAGAAUAGUAAAAGCAGGAUUAUGUUUGUGAAUACCGGGGGUGGGCUUCAUAUAUACAAAUUUAUCCUUGGGAAAUUGUAGUUGGGCAUAAAAAAAUGUUAUUUCAAAGUUGUAGCUCAUAUAUGAAGUAAAAUAAAGUAAUUAAAAUAUACUCACUCCAUCCCAUAAAGUAUGAGCUAAUCAAUUUUACGCACAUUUCAGAAAUUUGAGUAUGACUAUCCGAUAUGUAUUUGCAUUCACAAAAAGAUGAGUUAGUGGAUGAUGACUAAGCAUUUACUUGAAUAUGUGGUUAUAGCUGCUUAGUCAUUAUCCACUAACUCAUCUUUUUGUGAAUGCAAAUACAUAUCAAUAGUCAUACUCAAAUUUCUUAAAUGUGCGUAAAAUUGAUUAGUUCAUGCUUUAUGGGAUGGAGUUAGUAUAUUUUGAUUAGUUUAUUUUACUUCAUAUAUGAGCUACAACUUUAAAAUAACAUUUUUAUGCCCAAUUACAAUUUCCUAAGGAUAAAUUUGUAUAUAUGAAGCCCACCCCAGUAUUCACAAACAUACUCCUACUUUUACUAUUCUAUUUUCUUUAACCUCCGUCAACACGUUGACGUUACCCCAGAAUCAUCCAUCUCACUCUUUAUAUACUUUUGUGUUCCAACAAACUUUAAAGUCGCAAACUUUAGAGUUAUUAUACGCUGGUAAGGAAAAUCAAUCUCCAUUCUUCAAACCACUUUCUUUUUAUAUCCUUUUAAUUUUAAGAACUUUACUCUUAGAGAGUGGAAAGAAGUGGAACCGAAUGUGGCAAAUUCCCUCUGAAUUACGUUAUUUGGUUUGCCGAAUUUGUGAAGAGGAUUGUUGGUAUGUAAAUCUUCCAAUUUUCAUGUAUAUUAAGUUAUUCUCAUGAAGUGGUGAUGAACUCUUCUUGUCGAUUUCGUUAUGAUUUAGCAUGUAUUACUUUUUCUUUUCCGAAGUAAUUUUAUCUUUGCUUGUUCAUCUGUGUUUAAUGAAAUUUUAAUUUGUGACUAGUUGAUUUGUCUUUUGAUUUAUCGAAAAUUACUUUAAAUAGAAAAUGAAUAAAUCCACAAUCUGUGGUUUGGAGUCUUAUUUGGCCUAAAGUUUAAUUGUCGUUUAGUACAAUGAAGAUAUAAAGAUUUAAAUUUUAAUUAUGGGAGUCAUGUAAUGUAUUUAAAUUGUGCUGAUGGGAUUAGAGUCUUAAGAUUUGCAAGGAGUUGAGGAAGUUCAUGUGAUUCCUAUGUAGUUGUUGUGGAUAUCUUAGUAAACGACAAUGAAGAUAUAAAGAUUUAAAUUUUAAUUAUGGGAGUCAUGUAAUGUAUUUAAAUUGUGCUGAUGGGAUUAGAGUCUUACGAUUUGCAAGGAGUUAAGGAAGUUGAUGUGAUUCCUAUGUAGUUGUUGUAGAUAUCUUAGUUUCUUUGAUUAUACUCUUUAAUAUUGGGGAAAAAAGCAGUUCAAAUAUUGGCAUUGAGGCAUAAAUAGAAAAAAAAUGAGUUUAAUCCAAACUAUAGUGAGUAUAAUCAUCUUCUGAUUAUAUGAUUUGUAAAUCACCAGUUAUGAUUACUACUCGGUAUAUUUUGGAUUUACUCAUAUUUUCUUCUAUACAUGCCCACGAACUACUUUAUUUCCUGUAUUACGGAGCACAAACAAAGAAAGUAAAAUAUCCACAAAAGCCACAUAGGAAUCGCAUCAAGUUCCUCAACUCUUUGCAAAUCUUAUAACUCUAACCCCAAUAGCACUUUAAAUAAAUUACAUGACUCCCGGAUUUAAAAGUUGAAUGUUUAUAUCUUCAUUUGUACUAAGCGAAAAUUAAAUUCUAGGUCAAAUAAGAUUCCGACACUGUAGGUCGGGGAUUUAAACAUUCCCUAUCUACACUCAUUUUUAGUAAAUCAAAUUACAAACCAACUAGUUCCGAAUUAUAAUAUCAUCAAACACAAAUGAACAAGCAAACAUAAAAUUACUUUGCAAAAACAACAGGUAGCUCAUACCAAACCAUAACGAAAUCGACAGGAACAGUUCAGCACCACCAAAUCAGAACUUAAUAUACAUGAGAAUUUGAAGAUUACAUACCAGCAAUCCUCUUCACGUAUUGGGAAUACCAAAUAACGUAAUUCACAUCAGGGAAUUCUCCAAUAUUUGCUUCACUGCUUUCCAUUCUCUUAAAUCAAAGUUCCUAAAGACUUCAAAUUAAAAAGAGAUAAAAAGAAAGUGGUUUACGACUUUAAAGUUUGUUGGAACACAAAAGUAUAUAAAAAGUAUAUGUGUUCUAAAGCAAGAACUUAGAGAAUUUCAGACAAUUAUACAAAAGUUCUGCUUUUCUUGCUGAGGCUUCAACUUUGUUUACAUAGUAAUUAUGUAAGUGAAUAUAUAAUUUUCUCCAUCCAUUACCUAGUACCUACUCUCCAUGAGUUUCUGUAAAUGCUUUGCCGAUUCACAUCUGGGGUUUACAAUUACGAGCCCAGAGUAUCUCCCGUACAUUUCAAUCAACGCCGUAUGAACAAACAAAUCAGACCCAAAACCUCUAAUCAUCAGUAUCUAAAGUAUCUGGUUGGGGACUUGUGUCAAACAGGUGGCGGGCAUACGAGACCUCAUCAGUGACCCGUGAAAACAUUUUACUAGCUAUGUUAGGGUAACAUCUAAAGUGGUUUUGAGGAUAAGCAGAGAUUUGGAGAAGAUGAUUGCGGGAGAUGAGUGUUCUCAGGGUUGAAUGUAUCGGCGUUCCUCACGAAGAUCCCGUUUAAUAUUUGAAACAUAUUUUCAGUAUUUGGGGAUAACAUUCUUGAUUUUUUUUAAAUCAAUGACAUAUUGAAAAAAUUCUCAUGAAUUGAGGUGUAUUUUAUUCGAAUUUUAAUAGUCUGAUUUUAAAAGAUUGUAUGUAAUUUUAAAUUACGCGAAUUUUUGAAAAAAUGUUGCAGAAUUGAUAUAGAUUAUUUAAAAUUUAAGUACAAUAUUUCAAAAUCUCAUGGAUUUUGGUGGGAUUUCAAAAAAAUUAAAAUUCACUCAAAAAUCUCGCAAAAUCCAUCAUUUUAUGAAAUCCAUAAAAAUCCAAUAGUAUUUGUAUAUCAUUUGAAUUUUAAACAAUCCAAAUUAAAUGAAAAAAAGCCCUAAAUAACUGAAUUUUUGAGUUUAAUGCCCCGUAGAACAAAAUUUGAAAAAGUGGCCCCAGUUGACAUGUGAAAACACUUAAAAUUGCCCGCAAGGGUUGGUUCAGCUGGUUAAAGAGGGGACAAGUAUCCUCUUGAUCACUGGUUCGACUCCCGAAGGGAGCACGUAGUUUGCAGGCUAUUGCGUGGGUUUACCCAGUGCGCACCCCCGAAGUGUAGCGGCUGUGGGUUCCUACGUUAAAGUUUGCAGGCUCGCAUAGGUUUACGGGUUUUCUCUUUUCUUCUUUUAUUAAACCUUUUCAAACUUCACAGUUUACAUAAGUAAAGUUAACAUUGAGUACACUGAGUAGACGAAGUACAGAGAAAACAGGUUGCGGGUUGCGGGUUGGGUCAAGCUAAUAUAAAGAAAAAUCAAUUGAGAUGAUGGAUUAUAAUGUAAGUUUUACAUUCUUUUGAAGAAUUGCAAUUCAAUUUAUAUAUAUUUUCAAUGUAUAUGUUCUAUGUGUUUGUUAAAGUGUCUAUGAUGAUUUACAUAUGAAGCAGUGGUUAGAAAUAGCUAGUAUUAUUUCUAAUUGAGUUGUAGUCACAUAUUACCAGUUAAGUUCGAGUUAUGUAAUGCAUAUUUGGAGCUUAAUUUUAGAAUUUGAAGCUUAUCUAUUACUUUACUAUGAGAAAUCUGCUUAGGUUAUCCAUGUGUAUGAAGAAUACGUAAGUUUAGGACCAAUAUAAUUGGAAAUGGCACUAGUUUAGGAGCAUCUUCUACCUGAUCAACCCUACAGAGCCCACAUAUCAGAGAAUUGAAAGUGAACAUAUCUGGUUUACAUCCUCCGUUUACCAUGUCAGCGUAUAGUUCCAGAGCCUCCUUAACCUUCUCAUCCUUAGCUAAAGCAUUUAUCAGGCAGUUGUAUCCAACAGUGUUUAAGCGGAUCCCCAAUGCUGACAUUUCACGGACAGCUUCUUCUGCUUCCUUCAAUCUGCCGACCUUGCAGAACCCGUUGAUCAAACUCGUGUAUGUUAUUAGGUUGGGCUUGCAACCCAUAAUUUCCAUCUCUUUCAUCAAAUUUCGUGCUAAAGAAAAAGAUUUUCUCGAACAUAGACCACGGAUGAUUAUGUUAUAUGUAUAGAUAUCUGGAUUGCAACCAACAGCGGGCAUCCCCUGCCUCAAAACAGCAUUGGCAUCAUCAAACUGUCCAUUGGCCACAUAACCAUUAAUCAAAGUAUUGAACAAAACAACAUUAGGCUCGGGCACUCUCUCCAGAAUAGCUCUAGCUUUAUCAACUUGACCAGUUCGGCAUAAUCCAUCCAUUAAAAUUCCUUAAGUAAACUUGCUAGGAGUGAAGCCUCAGAGAAGCAUUCUAUCGACCAAUUUAGCACCUUCAGGUAUCCUCUUAGCACGGCAAAGACCAUGAAUAACAUCAUUAAAAGUAUCAACAUCAGGUGUGCAACCCAUCAGAAACAUUUCCUCCAAAUAUCUUAUCACGUCAUUUAUUCUGUUCACCUUACAAAGCGCAUGUAUAAGUGUCUGGUAAAUAACUGAAUUCGGCACACACCCAUGUUCUGUCAUAUCUCUUAAAAGUGAACAUGCAGAAUCCACCUCAUUAACCAUACAAAGCACUUUCAUCACCACACCGAACGUUAAAACAGUUGGAGAAAUCCCCUUGUGCAACAUCUCAUAAAAAAUAUUCGGUGCAACAGCCGGGCAAUCCCCAGCAACCAAUAUAUCCAGAACAACAUUAUAAGACCUAAAACUAGGUUCGCAACUAAAAACAUCCCUCAUAUCAAAAAGUAACCGCGUCGAUUGACCAGGUAAACCAGCUCUACCAUAAUGCCUCAUCAUAGAAAUAAAAAGUGACUCCUGAAAAACUACCCCUUCAUCUUUCAUCCGCAGCAACAAUCCAUCAAUCAACUUAAACUCCCCGGCCGCUCCAAGUUUAUUAAUCAAAGUACAAUACACAUCAAAUGUAUGAGUAUACCCCAUUUGAGUACCCGCCUUACGGAACAAAUCCACAGAAGUAGGGACAUCAAGGGGGAGUUGAAGCAACUUAUUAAGCUGAUACGGUGCAAGUCGAUUAAGGGACUUUCGAAGCUGUUCAAUGUCAAAUGGUUCAAGCAAACUUUCCCAAUCUGUUUCAGGGGAUGACCCAUUCUUAUAAUCAGAAUUACCAACAACAUUUCCAUCAUCCCCAAUUGAACUACAAUAUGUAAAGAUUGGAUUUUUAUACAAAGAUUGAACCUUUUUGACAAAAUGACACCCAAGAUUCAAUCUUUUGAGCAUAACUCUUAUUGGGUAAUUGUAAACAAGCAAAAGCUAAGCACACAACUGAUUGGCAUUACACAUACAUAAACUUUUCAGGGUUAUAAGCAAUUGUGUGUAUACAUGUAUGUAUAUGUGCAUAUAGAGUUGAAAAAUAUAUGAGAAACAGAGCAGAAUAAAGAGCUCUAACCUGGGAAAAAUAUCUUGCAUAUAGUGUUUGUAUUUGCUGCAAAAAGCUUCUGCACUAAUUAUUCAGUGAGCAGCGGAUCGGGUCUAAAGUCAAAUUUUCAAAUCAAUUGGGUGUUUGUAUGUGCAUAUAAUUCAGCACACAAUAAAGCUGAUCAUGGCUUAUGGACCAGAAAGCUGCUUCUUCAGCUUUUUCAAAGAAAUUUUCUUUCAACAUUGCUACACACUAUGGUUUCAGCCGCAUUGCUUGUUAAUCAAUCUCGUCGAAUUGAUCUAUAUCAUCUACCCAUAAAGUUUCAUCAUCUAAUUGAAGCGCCCACAAGUUUCCUCAUUUCUUUCUAUCUAUAUUCCCAUGUUAUAACUAGUACAUUAGCAAAGGCGUUCUUUUCUAAUAUCUCGGAUAUUCAUAUAAAAGAGUACACAUGUAAAACAAAAAUACUAAACAAACUCAUGAACUAAAUAUUAAUGACCACAAAUAAUAAUCACACAAAAUACAAAUAAAAAAGCGGAAACCAAAGAAAUAUUCAGAAGAGAUGAUUCAAAACUUUCUAACAAUUACAAAACUAAUCUUUAAAAUUUGUGAGUCAUAAAGCCUGGAUGAUGACCUUGUGACAGAGAUAGCUAACCAUGCCUCUCAUCAUUCAUCUCAAUGACAAUGUUAUGCAAGAUGCGGCAAGCUGUGCUAAUACUUUGACGCUUCUCAGCUUUCAUUACAAGUGUAAGAACCUUCCAUUCUUCCUUUAGCCGCCUAUCCAUUGUCUCAGCAGUCAUUCUUUCCUCAGUAGCAGUGGCUGUCCCAUGGAGGUGGCGAAGGCCAUUUUCUACCAAGGCCUCCACAAAGGACCUUGUAACCUUAUCAGCAGUAAAAGAGUGCGUACCAAUUUCCUUACUGAUUGAGUUCAGUGACUUGCCAAAUUUUAGCCUUCUCAACGCUAUGGCUACUUUAUCAACCACGGUCAAUUCUCUAUUAUCGUUAAAUUUGUAUGUGUGUGACUUGGACAUUGGCUCCAUCACAAGAGAGCACAAGUAUCUGAAGGUUCUCAUUGAGAUCCCGCAGUACUCUUCGACUCUAGUCGAGUCUUCCAAGAGAGGAAAAUGUCCUGCAAAGAAGAGAAGAAAAUGCAUUUUUAUAAAUACGACUAAGACACUGCCAUAAUGUGUUUAUCAUGCUGAAAACUUGAACAUAUUAGAUUAAUGCAUAACACCAUACUAGUCCAUUCAUUUCAGUAUACAUACACAUAUCGACCUGUAAACUGUAUAAACAAAAUGAAGCUAGAAUGUCAAAAAUGAAGAUCAGUAAACUGCUGGUGAUUAACACACAGGGAUAUAUCACAUUCAGUAAGGUUCCAAUCUGAAAAGAAUGCUACAGCUUUCAUAUCAAAUCUGAAUCAAUAUGAACUGAUUAUAGGUGGAUACUUUCAGUAUUCAUAGCUAGUUACAAGCUCCUAGGAAAACAAACCCUUACAAGAACUAAGUACAUAACAACAUAUUCGAAAACAACAGAUUACAUAUUGUUCCAAAGACUAAGACAACUGGAAGCAGUUUGACCUUAAUUACUAGUUUGACCUUGUGGAACUGGAAAUAGAAAUAUUUUGAAUGUACUUACCUAAAAUCAAUCCCUUGCUACUUUGGAAAAAAAAGCUAGUCCUGAAUUCACUGGUGAUUUAUAAUUCACAUAACCAGAAGAUGAUUAUACUCAGUAUAAUUUCGAUUUACCUCAUAUUUUCUUCUAUGUAUGCCCCAAUGCCAAAAUCUGAAUUGCUUUCUUUCCCAUAUUACAGAGUAUAAACAAAGAAACUGAAAUAUCCACAAGAACUACAUACGAAUCACAUCAACUUCCUCAACUCCUUGCAAAUCUAAGGACUCUAAUCCCAUCAAAAAAAUUUAUAUGCACAUUACAUAACUCCCAGAAUUAAAAGUUAAAUGUUUAUCAUCUUCAUUGUACUAAGCGACAAUUAAAUUCUAGGUCAAAUAAGACUCCGAACCACAGAUUGAGGAUUUAUUCCUUCUCUAUCUAAAGUAAUUUUCAAUAAAUCAAAAGAAAAAUCAACUAGUCACAAAUUAAAAUUUCAUCAAACACAGAUGAACAAGCAAACAUAAAAUUACUUCAGAAAAAAAAAGGGUAGCACAUACCAAACUAUAAUGAAAUCGACAAGAACAGUUCAUCACCACUGAAUGAGAACAACUUAAAAUCCAUGAAAUUUUAAAGAUUUACAUACCAGCAAUCCUCUUCACGAAUUCGGCAAACCAAAUAACGUAAUUCAAAGGAAAUUUGCCACAAUUAGCUUCAUUUCUUUCCAUUCUCUUGAAGCAAAGUUCUUAAAAACUUAAAAUUAAAGGAGAUAUAAAGAAAGUGGUUUGAGAUGGAGAUUGAUUUUCCUUACCACCGUACAAUAACUCUAAAGUUUGUUGGAACACAAAAGUUUAUAAAGAGUGAGAUGGAUGGGUCUUGGGUGAAGUCAGCGUGUUGAUGGAGGUUAAAAGAAAUAGAAUAGUAAGAGUAGGAGUAUGUUUGUGAAUACUGGAGGUGGGCUUCAUAUAUACAAAUUUAUCCUUAGAAAAUUGUAAUUGGGCAUAAUAUAAAUUUUAUUUCAAAGCUGUAGCUCAUAUAUAAAGUAAAAUAAAGUAACUAAAAUAUACUCACUCCAUCCCAUAAAGCAUGAGCUAAUCAAUUUUACGCGCAUUUAAGAAAUUUGAGUAUGAUUAUUUGAUAUGUAUUUGCAUUCACAAAAAGAUGAGUUAGUGGAUGAUGACUAAGCAUUUACUUGAACAUGUGGUUACAGCUAUCUUAAAACAUACUAUAUAAAGUGGUGUCACGGAAAAAAUUUUCAACAUCCCACGUCACUAAGUUAUAUCAAUGCCUUUAUCAGCACAAACUUACAACUAAUAUUGUAUCGGAAUUGAUAACUCUUUUGUAUCAACUUAUAGUUGGUUGUUGAUUGACGUAGUAUGUUUGGCUUGGACUGUAACAAAUUUUGUCUGAGGUCGACCCUGCCAAAAGUGCCUUAAAAGGAUUUCUUCAGUUUUUGGGCUCGACGAGGACGUUAAACUUAUAUAAUGUGGAAAAACUGUAACAUUUCAUAGUAUGUAAGUGUGGACGCAUUUAUAAAUGUUGUAGAAAAGUCGUUAGCUCUUUUGGUUUGGUCUAUGGUGAGUUGUUGAACCAUCUCCUUCACUUUGGCUUGGGGUGUUACACAUUGAAUGCAGUAUAGAAUUUUGUUAUAAUUAUAAGUAUGUAUUUCUUUAUAUAUAUUCAAGUUGAUUGAAAAAUUAUUUAAAUUAAAUGGUACGAUGUAUAAAUCUUCAUAAGCUAUAACUUUAAUAUAAUAGACCUACUUGACUACGUCGAGACAUAUAAAAUUAUGACAAAAAUCCAAUUUAUUAUAAGAUAUGAUUAUAAUAAUAACCUCAAAUACAUAGAUCUGCCAAUUUGGUAUACAACAGAAAACAAAUGACACGAAAAAUAUGGAUAUCGAUUCACCAUUUUGUUAUACGAAUACGAAAGUAUACGAUCGUAAAACGUGUUCAGGUCAGAACUCUCAGGUGCAUUGCCUAAAGCAUAUAAUGCACCUGAGAGUUUUGACCCGAACACGUCAAAAUAUAAAGGGAUAUUUCUAAUGGUCCAUUUUAUGAUCGGGUACUUUCGUAUUCGUAUAUCGAAAUGGUAAUCGUUUUCCUUAUUUUUCGUGUCAAUUUUUCUUUUGUGUCGCAUACCAAAUUAAUGGCUUUAUCUAUUUUAGGUUUUUAUUAAAUUAUGUCUUCUAAUAAAUUAGAUUUUUUCUCAUAAAUUUAUAUGUAUAUUGUAUAGUCAGAUAGGUCUAUUAUAUUAAUGUAGUAGCUUACGAAGGUCAAUACAUUUAAUUAGUUAACUUAAAUAAUUUUUCACUCAACUUGAAGAGAUACAUAUAUAUGUGUGUGUGUGUGUAUCUUUGUGUGUGUGCUUAAUUAUAAUAAAAUUAUAUAAUUAUAUAAUAUAUCAAUUGUAUAACACCCUAAUCCUACGAGAAGCAAAUGGUUCAACAACUCACCACAGAGCAAUCCAAAAAAGCUAGCGACUUUGCUAAAACGUUUAUAAAGGCGUCCAAACUUACCACAGUAGGAUGUUACAGUUUUUCCACACAAUUAGUUUGACGUCCUCGUGGGGCCCAAAAGCUGAAGAAAUUUUGUGAAGCACUUUUGGCAGGGUCGAGCUCUGACAAAAUUCAUUACAGUCCAAUCCUAAUAUACUACAUCAUUCAACAACCCACUAUAAGUUGAUCCAAAAGAGGUAUCAAUCCCGAUGCAGUAUUAGUUAUAAGUUGUGCUCAUAAAGGCAUUGAUAUAACAUACCUAACUUAGUCAGGUGGCAGUAGCAAACUUUCUCCGUGACACUACGGGAAAGAAAGUAGUUCAGAUUUUGGCAUUGAGGCAUACAUAAAAGAAAAUAUGAGGCAAAUCCAAAUAACAACAGAAAGUCACCCUAGACCCAUCCAUCUCACUCUUUAUAAACUUUUGUGUUCCAACAAACUUUAAAGUCGCAAACUUUAGAGUUAUUGUACGGUGGUAAGGAAAAUCAAUCUCCAUUCCUCAAAGCACUUUCUUUUUAUAUCCUUUUAAUUUUAAGUUUUUAAGAAAUUUACUUUAAGAGAGUGGAAAGAAGUGAAGCUAAUUGUGGCAAAUUCCCUCCGAAUUACGUUAUUUGGUUUGCCGAAUUCGUGAAGAGGAUUGUUGGUAUGUAUAUCUUCAUGUAUAUUAAGUUCUCAUUAAGUGGUGACUGUUCUUGUCGAUUUCGUUAUGGUUUGGUAUGUAUUACCUUUUCUUUUCCGAAGUAAUUUUAUCUUUGCUUGUUUAUCUGUGUUUAAUGAAAUUUUAAUUUGUGACUAGUUGAUUUGUGUUUUAAUUUACUGAAAAUUACUUUAGAUAGAGAAUGAAUAAAUCCUCAAUCCGUGGUUCGGAGGCUUAUUUGGCCUAAAAUUUAAUUGUCGCUUAGCACAAUGAAGAUAUAAACAUUUUAAUUUUAAUUAUGGGAGUCAUGUAAUGUAUUUAAAUUGUGCUAAUGUGAUUAGAGUCCUAAGAUUUGCAAGGAGUUGAGGAAGUUGAUGUGAUUCCUAUGUGGUUCCUAUGUAGUUGUUGAUUACUACUCGGUAUAUUUUGGAUUUACCUCAUAUUUUCUUCUAUGUAUGCCCAAUAACUACUUUAUUUCCCGUAUUACGGAGCACAAACAAAGAAACUAAAAUAUCCACAAAAGCCACAUAGGAAUCGCAUCAAGUUCCUCAACUCUUUGCAAAUCUCAUAACUGUAAUCCCAAUAGCACUGUUUAAAUAGAUUACAUGACUCCCGGAUUUAAAAGUUGAAUGUUUAUAUCUUCAUUUGUACGAGGCGAAAAUUAAAUUAUGGGUCAAAUAAGAUUCUGACACUAUAGAUUGGGGAUUUAAUCAUUCCCUAUCUACACUCAUUUUUAGUAAAUCAAAAUACAAACCAACCAGUCCCGAAUUAUAAUUUCAUCAAACACAGAUGAACAAGCAUACAUAAAAUUACUUUGCAAAAACAACAGGUAGCACAUACCAAAACAUAACGAAAUCGACAGGAACAGUUGAGCACCACCAAAUCAGAACUUUAUAUACAUGAGAAUUUAAAGAUUAACAUACCAGAAAUCCUCUUCACGAAUUCAGCAAACCAAAUAACGUAAUUCACAUCAGGGAAUUCUCCAAUAUUUGCUUCACUGCUUUCCAUUCUCUUAAAUCAAAGUUUUUAAAAACUUCAAAUUAGAAAGAGAUAAAAAAAAAAAGUGGUUCGAGGAAUGAAGAUUGUUUUUCCUUACCACCGGAGAAUAACUCUAAAGUUUGCGACUUUAAAGUUUGUUGGAACACAAAGGUAUAUAAAAAGUAUAUGUGUUCUAAAGCAAGAACUUAGAGAAUUUCAGACAAUGAUACAAAAGUUCUGCUUUUCUUGCUGAGGCUUCAACAUUGUUUACAUAGUAAUUACACAAGUGAAUAUAUACAUUUCUCCAUCCAUUACCUAGUACCUACUCUCCCUGAGUUUCUGUAAAUGCUUUGCCGAUUCACAUCUGGGGUUUACAAUUACAAGUCCAGAGUAUCUCCCAUUUUCAAUCAACGCCGUCUGAACAAACAAAUCAGACCCAAAACCUCUAAUCAUCAGUAUCUAAAGUAUCUGGUUGGGGACUUGUGUCAAACAGGUGGCGCGCAUACGAGACCUCAUCGGUGACCCGUGAAAACAUCUUACGUAAUAGCUAGGUUAGGGCAACAACGUUGAUAUCUAAAGCGGUUUUGGAGAUAAGCAGGGAUUUGGAGAAGAUGAUUGAGGUUAGAUGAGUGUUCUCAGGGUUGAAACCCUGUAUCGGCGUUCUUCACAAAGAUCCUGUUUAAUAUUUGAAACAUAUUUGGGGAUAACAUUCUGAUUAUUUUUUUUAAAUCAAUGUUCUAUUGAAAAAAAAUCCUCAUAAAUUGAGGUGUAUUUUAUUCAAAUUUUAAUAGACUGAUUUUCAUCUAUACAUUUUAAUGUAUUGUAUGUAAUUUUGUUUGACGCAAAUUUUGAAAAAAUGUCGUAGAAUUGGUACAAAUUCUUUAAUAUUUAAGUAUAAUACUUCAAAAUCUCAUGAAUUUUGAUGGAAUUUCAAAAAAUUUAAAAUUCAAUGAAAAAUCUCAUAAAAUCCAUCAUUUUAUGAAAUCCAUAAAAAUCCAAUACCAUUUAUAUAUCAUAUGAAUUUUAAACAAUUCAGAUUAAAUAUCAUUGGAUUUUUUAGUAUAAUUUAAAAUUCUAAUUGAAUAUUAUCAGAUUUUAUAGCAUAAUUUAAAAUCACAAUCGAAUAUUCAAAAUUUUUUAAUGAAUUUUAAACAAUCGCAAUUGAAUAUACGCAGAUUUCAUGAAUGAAAAAAAAAUAUAUUUUUUAAAAUUCCAAUCGAAUACACCCCCUAAGUAAUCUCGAAUUUAUAAAUCAAUGGAUAAGUUGUGAUUCAUGAUUUUUAUAAUCAUGGCUCCAAUAUUUUUAUUCACACUUUUUUAUAUUCUUUAUCUUAAUCGAGUAAUAACAAAAAUCUAAAAGAUUAUCGGGCUUGUUUUAUAAUUUCCCAACCUCUUAAAUUUUUUUAUAAAAAUAUUGUUGCAAACUUUCAAUAUUUUAAAAAUACCAUUUAUUUAUUGUUUUGAUACAAAAAAUAUCAUUUAUUAUAAAUUAUUUAUAAAAAUACGACUUGCAACUUCUGCAGCCUCAUUUGCAACAACAUUUUGCGACAGUUGCAAAUGAGAAAUUGAUUUACAACUUGCUUAACAAAUACGACUUGCAAAUUCUGCAAUCUCGUUUUUCAACACCAUUUGCAACAUUUGCAAAUGAGAAAUUUCAUUUGCAACUUAUGCAACGUCAUUUGCAACAGUUGCAAACUGAUGUUGCAAAAGCGGGUUGCAAGUGGUACUUUUAUAAAUAACUAGUUAAGAAACCGCGCGUUGCGGUGGCCUAUAAAAAAUAUAUUAAUGAUUCAAUAUUAAUAUUUGUAAAAUGCUAAUACUAAUAUAUAAAAUUGUAAAAUUGGACUAUAAUUCAUGGUAAAAAAAUGAAAAUAAAUUUCUACACGUAAUUAACAAUUUAAAGCACGACGAAUCUUAAUUUAUUUGUGUUUUUUUUAAAAAGUAAUCAUGUUCUUACAUUGUCACCUUCCUCCAAUUUUUUUCCGAUUGAUUGUGCACAAAAACAUGUAACUUAAAUCCGUGAGAUAACAGUCUAUAACUACCCUUACUUGUAACAAUAAUACUGUAUGAACAGUUUUCACUUAAAAGUUGCUUGAACGGAGAAAACAGAUAAUGAUGAAUAAUAUUUUUCCUUGUACAAUGUAAAUCAUAUAAAAAAUUAACAACAACAAACAUGUCCGAUGAACAAAAUCAAAUAUUAAAAAAAAAUAACCAAAAACCAUACAUCACUAAUAGUUAAUUUAUUGAUAUCAUCCAUCAAUAUCAUGUCAAGACUAUAUUUUUCUCCCGUGUUUGGAUUUGUCGACUCCCACAUAACGGUCUAUAACUAAUUUUGCUUGAAACAACCUUUAUUUUUUUAAUACCGUAUAAACAGCAUUCACUUAUCAUUGUAGAAGAACGGCACCACCGAUUUAGAAAUCGAGCAAGAAAAUUAUCACCAGAGAGAGGUAGGGUUGUGGUAUUGAGAGAGAAUGUUGUGUUUAGAUGAUCCAAAACCCUACAACCUAUAAUUAUAAGUGCAGAAAGACUUGUGUGUGUUACUCUUUUCCAUAAUUAAAUAAUCCGAAACAAAAUCAGAUUAAAACUUUCAAGCUGCUAUAUUCCAUAAAUAAUCUGAAACAAAAUCAAAUUCUGAAACUUGCGAAAAUUCCAGAAAAUUAGAAAAAUAGAACAGAGCGAUGUGAGAGGCGCCACCUACACGCCCCUCGCUUCUCCUUUAUAUAGAAACAAAAUCAAAUUAAAACUUUCAAGCUACUAUGUUCCAUAAAUAAUCUGAAACAAAAUCAGAUCCUGAAACUUGCUUCUAAUAUAUCCGAAACUAAAAAAGGUAGUUCUAAUUUUUGAUAUUUUUUAUCCAAAAAUUUCAGUUAUAUAGAAACAAAAUCAGAUUAAAACUUUCAAGCUACUAUAUUCCAUAAAUAAUCUGAAAUAAAAUCAGAUUCUUGAACUUGCUUCUAAUAUAUCUGAAACUAAAAAAGGUAACUCCAAUUAUUGAUAUUUUUUAUCCAAAAAUUUCAGAAAAUUAGAAAAAUAGAACGGAGCGAUGUGAGAGGCGCCACCUACACGCCCCUCGCUUCUCCUUUAUAUAAGUAUAUUGAUUUGAAAAAAAAAUUGUAUAUUAAAAAAUUUUCAACCGCACAGUAUUUUUAUAAAUAAUUUAUAAGGAGUUGGUAUAUUUAUAAAUAUCCCAAAACUGAUAUUAGAAUUUAAAAUUUAAUCUUUAUUUAAUUUUAAUUAUUCUUCCUCACAUUCACUACGAGAAGAAUGGGGAAGACUUCUUUAUCGUGUUGAUGGUGAUUAAAGAUACGAGCAUUUACUUUCAAAAAAAAAAAAAGAUACGAGCAUUAAUAAAUAAUUAAAAUAUUUAUGAUUGAAAUUUAAAUAAAUUUCUUCAUAUUAAAUUUAGAAACUUGUUUUUUGUCAUACAAAUUUAGGAAUUUAGUUUAAGAUAAAUGUAGGAGUAUAAUACAAAAUUAAUUUCUUUAAUAAAUAAAAUUUAGUUUUGGAAGGUGUUUAUAGAAAAACGUAUUUAUUUUAAAAAAUAUGAGGACUUUUUUAUUUAAUAUUUUUUAGCUAUUUGCAUCUUAUAAUCACUGGAACCAAAGAUGACAACAAAUGAGUAGACUUACUCCUUCCGUCCAAUUCAUUUCUAUAACGUCUAUAGGAUGUCUCAUUAUUUAUAUACAUUCUUAAAAUAAUAUCAUUUAAUAAUAUAUUUAUACAAUCUAUUUAUAGGAUGUCUCAUUAUUUCUAUAUAUUCUUAAAAUAAUAAUUUUUAAUGAUAUAAAACAUUAUUACGAAAAUAUAUAAAUAUAUAAAUAUAUACAUUCUCAAAAUAAUAACUUUUAAUAAUAUAAAACAUUAUUAUGAAAGAAUAUAAAUAAAGACAAACCUUCUUUCUACGAAAGAAUAUAAAAAUCUACUUGAUCUUCGUAACAAACCAUCUGAACAAAAGCAUGUAAAAUAAAGAUACUAAACAAACUCAUGAACAAAAGAUCACGGACCACAAAAAUAAAGAAUCACACAACAUACGAAUAAAAAGUUGAAACCACAUAAAUAUUUGGAAGAGAUGGUGCAAAUCUUUCUAACAAAUACAAAAUUAAUCUUUAAAAUUUGUGAGUCAUAAAGUCCGGAUGAUGACCUUGCGACUGAGAUAGCUCACGAUGCCUCUAAUCAUUCAUAUCAGUGACAAUGUUAUGCAAGAUGCAGCAGGCCUUGAUCAUACUCUGAAGCUUCUCAGGUUUCAUUCCGGUUGUAAGAACCUUCCAUUCUUCCUUUAGCCUAUCCAAUUUCUCAACACUCAUUCCCUCUUCAACGGCACUAUCCAAUGUCUCAGCACUCGUUCCCCCUUCAGUGGCAGCGCCAGGCCCAUGGAGGUGGCUAAGGCCAUUUACUGCCUCCACAAAGGACCGUGUGACCUUGUCAGCAGUAAAUGAGUGCAUCCCAGUUUCAUCACCGAUUGAGUUCAGCGACUUCCCCAAUUUAAGCCUUCUCAUAGCUAUGGCCACUUUAGCAUCCACGGUUAAUUCCCUGUUAUCGUUAAAUUUGUAUUUCGGUGAAUUGCCCAGAGGCUCCUUCACAAGAGUGCAUAAGUCUCUGAAGGUUCUCAUCGAGAUCCCACAGAAUGUUUCAACUCUGUUCGAGUAUUCCCGUGGAGUAAACUGUCCUGCAAAGAAGAGAAGAUAAUGCAUUUACAUAUGUCAAUUUAACCUGAUGAAACAAUCACUCAUGAGACCGGAAACAUACUUGGUUCAGCCUGUUUGAACUACUACACAAAAUGAGAAGAAAAUUUAUUUCAUCACAUUAUAUUCUGUACAGCGGAACAGUCAUAAAAUUUUGAACUCGCAACCCAGUAUAAUAAGAGGAUAUUUGUAUAAGAAUAUGGAAAAAAGAUUGUGGACAAUCAAGACAACAUUAACAACUAUCACACACAUAUGCUAAAAUACUCAUGCGCACAUGCUAUCUUUAACUUGAUUCUUGGGUUAACACCAAAAUAGGAUUAAGUGGAAAGUACAGCCUUAAGAAUUAUUAGAUUCGAAAGAUGCAAGGACACUAAAUUAGAAGAAGAAUACCAGCAAACCUGAAAUAGAGGUCAGAAAUUCCGAAGUAACAUUUAAAAAUACUUAGAAAUUGUGAAGUUUAACAGCGAACACACACAAAACAAGCGGUUCAAUUCCACUGAUAGCUUAAAGUGUCUAGACUUAGCAACGAGAGGGAAGAAUGUGAGAGUCUUAGGUUUGCAAGACAUCUAUGUCCUUUUUUAACAAAAAGCUUCUGGCUAGUCAGAGAAAGUUUGUUUUCCUUUAAAAAAUUCACCUCCAUAAGUCAAUAAAACUACAUUGUAUCUUGAGUUCUUGACAGAAACGUCAUGUAAUUAUCGAAAAUUAUGAUUUAUUGCAUUUGACCUACCGGUUGGUUCACAGCCUGCUUCUUUUGGUGGGACUAGAUUUAUUGCAUUUGACCUGCCAGUAUCCUGUUUCUGGUGCACUAAGCUACUCCUUAACUUCUUAGGAAAGCUCUUUAUAGGAUUUCCCUGGGCAGGCUUCUCCUCUUCAUCUAUACUUGAACCAUGACCAUUGUUCUUUGGAACAAGGUUGGAAUCUAAGGAUAAAAGAAUAUUUGAUCAGUAAAGAAAAUACAAUCCAAACUUUAACAAGAAAUAAAAUGGUCAACUCUGUAAGUUGAAAUAAUAUCUGAAAUACAUAUAGAGGAUACUUGCAGAGUCAGAAUAGAAAUUUUUUACUGAGAUAACCAUAAUGAGAAUAAAACAUAAUCCUAGAUAAAUAAUCUUUUACGAAACCAGUGCACAGUCAAAUUUUACAAUACCAGUGCACAGUCAAAUAUGAAAUACAGAUGCAACAAAUAUACAUAUAAUUCCUGAAAUUGUAGUCCAGUGGAUCCCCGGACCCAUAACCCUUAGUAAAAAGAUAAGGAUUCGACACCCUGUGGAUAUAACUGUUUGAGCAAGUACUUAAAUUUCUUGUGAUUGACCUUACCCCAAAGAAAGAAAUAAACAUUUAUAUAUAACUAGAAAAUUCAAGACUUAAAAACAAUUAUUCUGUCUCAAUAAUACUUCUCAUAGAUGAAAUACAUGGAUACUACCAUUAUUAUAUUGUGAAUCCCCUAGAUAUGUCAAUUUGAACUAAUUAAACAAUCACUCAUGAGACUGGAAACAUACUUGGUUCUGCCCGUUUGAACUACUACACGAAAUGCGAAGAAAAUUUAUUUCAUCACAUUGAUUUCUGUACAAUGGAACAGUCAUAAAAUUUUAAACUCAAACCCGGUAUAAUAAGAGGAUAUUUGUAUAAGAAUAUGGAAAACAGAUCGUGGACUAUCAAGACAACUUUUAACAACUAUUACACACAUAUGCUAAUACUCAUGCGCACAUGCUAUAUUCAACUUGAUUCUUGGGUUAACACCAAAAUAGGAUUAAGUGGAAAGUACAGCCUUAAGAAUUAUUAGAUUCGAAAGAUGCAAGGAUACUAAAUUAGAAGCAGAAUACCAGCACCUGAAAUAGAGGUCAGAAAUUCCGAAGUAACAUUUACAAAUACUUAGAAAUCGUCAAGUUUAACAGCGAACACACACUAAACAAGCGGUUCAAUUCCACUGAUAGCUUAAAGUGUCUAGACUUAGCAUCGAGAGGGAAGAAUGUGUGAGUCUACGUCCUUUUUUUAUCUAAAAGCUUCUGGAUAGUCAGAGAAAAGUUUGUUUUCUUUUAAAAAAUACAUCUCCAUAAGUCAAUAAAACUACAUUUUAUCUUGAGUUCUUGACAGAAACGUCAUGUAAUUAUCGAAAAUUAAGAUUUAUUGCAUUUGACCUACCGGUUGGUUCACUUGCUGCUGCUUCGUUUGGCGGGACUAGAUUUAUUGCAUUUGACCUGCCAUUAUCCUGUUUCUGGUGCACUAAGCUACUCCUUAACUUCUUAGGAAAGCUCUUUAUAGAAUUUCCCUGGGCAGGCUUCUCCUCUUCAUCUAUACUUGAACCAUGACGUUUGUACCUUGGAACAAGGUCGGAAUCUAAGGAUCAAAGAAUAUUUUGAUUAGUAAAGAAAAUACACUCCCAACUUUAAUAAGAAAUAAAAUGGUCAACUCUUUAAGUUGAAAUAAUAUCUGAAAUACAUAUAGAGGAUACUUGCAGAGUCAGAAUAGAAAUUUUUUUCUGGGAUAACCAUAAAUGAGAAUAAAACAUAAUCCUAGAUAAAUAAUCUUUUACGAAACCAGUGCACAGUCAAAUUUUAAAAUCUUAGGUUCCUUAUUGUCUUACAUCAAUAAGCACCAAAUACUAUACAUGAAAUACAGAUGCAACAAAUAUACAUAUAGUUCCUGAAAUUGUAGUCCAGUGGAUACCCGAACCCAUAACCCUUAGUAACAAGAUAAGGAUUCGACACCCUGUGGAUACAACUGUUUGAGCAAGUACUUAAAUUUCUUGUGAUUGACCUUACCCCAAAGAAAGAAAUAAACAUUUAUAUAUAACUAGGAAAUUCAAGACUUAAAAACAAUUAUUCUGUCUCAAUAAUACUACUUAUAGAUGAAAUACAUGGAUACUACCAUUAUUAUAUUGUGAAUCCCCUAGAUAUGUCAAUUUGAACUAAUUAAACAAUCACUCAUGAGACCGGAAACAUACUUGGUUCUGCCCGUUUGAACUACUACACGAAAUGUGAGGAAAAUUUAUUUCAUCACAUUGAUUUCUGUACAAUGGAACAGUCAUAAAAUUUUAAACUCAAAACCCAGUAUAAUAAGAGGAUAUUUGUAUAAGAAUAUGGAAAACAGAUUGUGGACUAUCAAGACAACUUUUAACAACUAUUACACACAUAUGCUAAUACUCAUGCGCACAUGCUAUAUUUAACUUGAUUCUUGGGUUAACACCAAAAUAGGAUUAAGUGGAAAGUACAGCCUUAAGAAUUAUUAGAUUCGAAAGAUGCAAGGAUACUAAAUUAGAAGCAGAAUACCAGCAAACCUGAAAUAGAGGUCAGAAAUUCUGAAAUAACAUUUACAAAUACUUAGAUAAUGUCAAGUUUAAGAGAGAAUACACACUAAACAAGUGGUUCAAUUCCACUGAUAGCUUAAAGUGUCUAGACUUAGCAACGAGAGGGAAGAAUGUGAUAUUCUUAAGUAUGCAAGACAUCUAUGUCCUUUUUUAUCUAAAAGCUUCUGGCUAGUCAGAGAAAAGUUUGUUUUCUUUUCAAAAUACAUCUCAAUAAGUCAAUAAAACUACAUUGUAUUCUUGAGUUUUGGACAAAAACUUCAUGUAAUUAUCAAAGAUGCAAUUCCUUCACUCUCCUAUGCUGUAAAUCCAUCACUUAAGCGAACUUAUUAAAGAGAAAAUUUUUGAAUACUAAAAGUUAAGAAUUUGCACCUGAGCUUAAGAAAAAUGUUAUCCACAGAUGCAUGCAUUUAGAUUUUCUUAUUUCUUUAACCUCUAAUAUAGAUGAUAAGACGACGCCUGAAAAAUUGAUUGUCAAAUGCUUAUCAUGAAUGACACUGGACGACUUUCUUAAUUCAAAACACAAAGUUUCUCCUUGCAUUCAACACAGAGUAGUACAAUUCCAAAUCAAACAAAUACUCCUUACAUGUUACAGAAGUGAUAUGUACCUGAUAUAGCAGGCGGCGAGUCAACAUUUCUCACCAAUGAUAUGAGCCACUGCACUACAUCGUCCCGGUUUCUCCACUGUGUAUAUGCAUUAAUGGUUGCAUUCGACCCAAAAGCCUCAAGAUACUCCUUCGCAACUACAUACAUCAUCCGACCUUCUCUGUUCUCAUUACCAACAGCAGCAAGCAGUGAAAUUCCUGAAUACGAUCUCAAGUGAUAUUCGACAUUGACCUCAGAAAUAGUUCUCUCUUCCCAGGCAUUGUAGUUAUGUUUUUUCCCACCCAUCCUAAUGACAGACACACACUCAGACAAUAAGAAUCAAAGUGUAACAAUAUAAAUAGUUAAUUACUCAAACACAUAACCACCAGCAAACCGCCCUCCCCCCCCCUCCCCCCCCCCCCCNAAUUACCCAAAUCAAUUAGAGGUAAAAUUCAGCAUGACAACCGAAAGGCUCUUCUUUCUUGUAAACACCCCAACCCACCCCACACACACACACACACUUACUUUUCAAUCCCAACAAUAACACAAAAUGAAUAAAAGAACUGACAAACUUGGAAAUAAUUAUCUGAUUAAUAUCCAUCUCGAAAGGAAUACAAACAAAUCUAUUAGUAGCAGUUGUGCACAAGGUUGAAUGACCCCCGAAGGACCUCGACAAGGUGUAGGAAAAACAGAAAACUCAACCAGAGAUGUGUUACAUAUAUACAAUAUAGAGUCAGCCAGUCAGGGAAAACAUAUAAAAAAAUCAUUAAACAGAUAACUGCUUUAUAAGAUAAUGCAGGGUAAAAGUUAUUAAAAUAUAAAUGAAAAAAUUGGGAAUAGCACCUACCUUGAGUGGCAACGAGUACAAGUUUAUGCAAACUAUGGCACAGCGUGAGGCACUAAGAAGAAGAUUUUUUUGUUUCAAAUUAAAAAAAUGGCUUUCACCUAUACAAGACUAACAUAACAACCAGAAGAUAUAAACACUGUGGAAAAAUUCAAUUUUGAUUGCGAUAGAGCCAUUGAAUGCUGCUGAGGUGAUAUCUUUGGACAAUACUGUACUGACAAAUCUUAAAAGUAACAUUAAAGAGUAACGUACAAUCGAGAUAGGUAAAGAGGAAGAGAAAGUCAAGGACUCAGAGAUUGGAAUAUGCUUACAUCUUCUGCAGAGAUGGCAAUUUGACAACAUCUCGUAAAUGUAAAACCGAAAAAAAAAAACACUGUUGAUAUAUGUGCAUAAAGAAUAAACAUACAGAAAACCAGAUGCACACACAUAAACCAAGUAAAAUGGUCAGCAGCAAAAAACUAUUAAUUACAUCGCUGCAUAUUACCUCGAGCUAAAUUUCCUUUGCUUCUCUGAAAGAACAAUUUUUUAGCUAAUGUUCUUCUGCUUCUCUGAGAACAAUUUUGAAAGAUAACAUAACACUUAUACCCCGAAAACACAAUUAGGCAUACAUUUUCAAUUUGGGAUAAUUGAAUCUAGACGUUCUUUUUGUUUCUUUUGCCAAGUAGAUAUAGAUAUUUUUUAAUUACGCGAGGAUAAUUUGAAUCUUGCGGAUUUUGUUGAUUUCAAUUGGAACUUCAAGUUCGAUAUGAAUAUCCAGCUAUUAUUUCCAUAGAACAAAAUCAGUGUAAAGGUUUAAUGUUUUUCUGAAGUAAUCAAAUUAUACAAAAGUAUAUAUGUUGUAAAGGACAAGAUAUUAAUAUUGUAUAUUAUUAAGAAAUUGUAUUUAAGCGAUAAAAAUCAAUGGGCUACCUUUAUCACAAUAAUAACUAUAUCUCAGAGUCCCAACCCCCAAUAUUAUCAUUUUUAUAAUGGAGACAAAUUAUUGUCCCGAGAUGUGCUCAUGACCCACUGUCCACCUAGAAACAGGCUUUCGAAUGAGGUGAAUUGAUAGAGUAUAAUUUCGAGUAAGCGGUCCUAAAAAGAGAUUAUUAUUACAUAGAGUUUGGACCAUAAACUUGUAUUAUAAUAAGGAGUUUAUUCUUAUAUAGAGUAAUACUAUACAAAGGUUCCAUUGUAUAUGAUCCACAUAAGCCCACCUCCUACCACACUAAGAUUUUAGGAUUGUUGAUUGCUUAACAUGGCAUCAAAUUUCGGUCAAGAAAGUGGUCUCGGGUUCGACUCUUCUCGCCUAAUUUGUAUGAUUUAAUGUGUUGAUAAAAAAAAGUAGUUGAAGCUUAGUUAAUAACAUAUUACCUAUUUCAUUUAAUUCCAACAAAUAAUUUAUAUGCCUCAAGAUUUUUUUUACCAAUGUGGUUAUUUCCAUACAUAAGAGAUUUUUGUAAUAAGAAUAAGAUGCCAAAAUUUUACUAAAAAUACCGCUUUCUCCAAAAAAGAAUGGCAUAAUAAAAAAUAUUGAGUAUGUGUGUGCGUGCGCAAAUGAAACUUAGAUACACUCUGAUCACGUGGUCAAUUUUUCUUAAUAUCAUUUGAUGUCUACCUUAAUCAUAAUUGUUUUGUAUUUCUUUACAUUUCUCCUCACAUGCCUGAAAUAGGUUUUGUCUCUUGAAAAUGUAACAUAAAACAAAUUUUACAGGAAUAUUAAUUGAUUCUUAUUUAUAUACAAGUGUAAAUUGUUAUUAGUUAUUAGCUUAAUAAUUGCAGUUAAUGAUUAUUUGUUAUUAGUUAAUAAUCACAUAGCAAAAUAAAUUUAAAACAUGAAAUAUAAAAAGAAUAGCUCAGUUUAGUCUAUUAAAAAAAUAAAAUUUUAACCUAAACAAUACAGUGUGGUACUCCAUGUUGAUAAGCCCGGCUCAAACUAUGUUGAGGCCCUGUCCAUAUAUCAUAAAGUGAUGCCCCAGGAUAUAUUCAACUAUAAUAUGUUUUUUUUUAAAAUUACACAUUCUAAGUGUAUAUAACAGGGUGUAAUAUUUUAAUAAUACAUAAACAAUUUUUUCUAUAUAAUUCUAAACUCAUAGAAUUAAAAAACUUCAUCUUUCAAAAUUUAAUAUAGUUAAAAAAAAACACUAGAAAUGUAUUCUAGAGAUACAUAAUUCAAGAUCAAGAUUUAUUUUUAAUCUUCUAUUUGAUGUUAAGUUUUGUUAUAAUGAUUAUUAUUCAAUUAUUGUGAUUUUGUGUUUGUGAUUAUCAUUAUUAUACUAUAAAAGUUGAAAAUUACAUGUAUUAUGUUUAAAAGUUAAUGAACAAUCAUUGUUGAUGGAAAAUAAUGAAAAAUAACAUCAACAAUACUUAAACUUAUGAUAACAGAGCAAAAUAAUCACAGAGCAAAAUAAAUUUAAAACCAUCUAAAAAUAAAAUUUUAACCUAGAUCAACUCUAUAUACAGUUAUUACCAGUUAAGAUAUGGAUACAUUAGAUAUAGAAUAUUACUACUUAAAGUUAUCAAGAAAAGAAACAUUACUUGCACAAGUUUUGAUCUUUAUAACUUUUUCUUAUCAAGGUUAAAUAAUGAAUACAUUGUAUAGAAUUAGAAGUUUCGAUCUUGUAUACUUUAUCUUGAAGUCUACUUUUAUAUGAGCUCAACCAUAUAUUCUAAAUGGAAAUAAUUAGAAGAUCCAUACUUUAUCAAUCCUUUCCAAAUCCAUUAGUCUUUAGAGUCUAUUCAUUACUUUACGUCUUCAACUCAACUCAGUACUUCAUUAUUAGUAUAGAAGUCCUUGCUAUUUAAACGCGUUAGGCCCAGAGUAUUAAUCCUAUUAUUUGACCCAACAUAUGUACUAUAGACGAUGGAAAAAAUCCAGUUAGGCUAUAACUAUAAAGUAUAAAUUGUGGUAUCUAUUUUUUUAAUCAAAAUUAGAAAGAGCGUGCAUAAUAUAUGUAAUAUAGUCAUCCUACAAAAAAUAAUGAAAUAAACCAAUUAUGUUAUGCAGAAGGUGUGAAACAAAAACAAAAUUUACAGUAAUUAUUUUAGUACAUCGAAAUGACGCUGAAGAUGUGAAACACAAAUAAAAUUAACGGUAAUUAUUUUAGUACAUCUAAAUGACGUACCGUCCAAGGCCAGCAGUUCCCACUGAGUAUAGGAGUCUGAAUAACCUGCACAGUGUUAACCUCCAUUUCAUGAAACCCAACAUUACUACUAAUCAUUAGAUACAAUAAGACCUGUAACUGCAUUUGUAAUUGGUAGACAAUUUCCCCUUUUUUGGAGCAUCACCAGUAAUCCUUACAUGAGCAUGUCCCUGCAACAAAAUGAUGAAACCGAUUCCGGUCCCUAAUGAUGAUCUUCCUAUUAUAAACUAUGGAGAUUAUUUUUAUGGCUGAAUGGCAGUCAUCACAAACACGGAGAUUCUUAACAAUUCGAAUUGAGACUCCUGGAGCUGUAUUAAGAAUACCAAAAGCUAUUGCAAGCUUUUCGCUGUGACGAACAAGCAAUGUCUCUUUCUCUUUAUCAUUAAUAUCUUGCAGAACAGAGGUUGUUAAAGGUACAUAGCCUGCUUCUUUCAAUCUAUUCAUAAUCUCAGAUAACAUCUUAUAGAUUUCAACAGAUUGCAAGUGUGAUUCAUCACCAGAAAUAAAUUCAUGGACUUCGUUCCCAAUUUCAAUUGAACUGCUCCCUGGGAUCCUCUGGAUUUUGUUGUUUUUCAUAAUCCUUCUCACAUUGACAACCUUGUCCCACUGUUUGGCUUGAGAAUAUAUAUUUGACAACAGAACAUAAUUCCUGUCAACAUUGGGUUCUAGUGCUACAAGUUUUAUUAUAGCUUCUUCUGCCAGUUCUACAUUCCUAUAAAUUUUACACGCUCCAAGAAGGGCUCUCAAAAUUACUGCAUCCGGUUCGAAAGGCAUGCUUCUAAUAAGUUCUCUAGCUUCCUGAAGUCUCCCUGAUCGGCCCAGAAUGUCAACCAUGUUUCCAUAGUGUUCAAUUUUGGGAGGAAUACAAUAGAUAUCACUCAUAGCAUUAAAAUAUGUCCACCCCUUGUCAAAUAAGCCAAUGUGACUACAUGCUGUCAGCACACCUAUGAAGGUGAUAUCAUUGGGUUUAGUUCCUUCAGAUAUCAUUUUAGAAAAAAGAUCAAGUGCAGCCUCACCGUACCCAUGGUUAGCAAGCCCCAUUAUCAUUGCACUCCAGGCAAAAACAUCCUUCUUACUCAUCUGCUUAAAACAACCCACUGCAUUGUCUAUAUCCCCACACUUUGCAUACAUGUCAACAAGAGAUGUACCGAGCCUUAUACCUAUUUCGAUACAACUUCUUUUAAUGUACUCAUGGAUCAUCUUUCCCAUACCUAAAGCACCUAUAUCUCCACAUGCACACAACACACUAACCAUUGUGAUCUGAUCAGGCACUACAUUCGAUAACUGCAUUUCAUGAAAAAGUUUCAAAGCAUUACUAGAGCACCUGGAUUUUGCGCAGGUUGGGAACAUGGAGCUCCAAGAAACAAAAUCCUUUCUAGCACUUGUAUCAAACAAAUCUUGGGCAGAUUCAAUAUCACCAAUCGAAGCAUAGCCAUGAAUCAUAGUAUUCCAAGAAACUAAGUCUCUAUCAGAAAUCUUAUCAAAAAACUCUUCAGCCAAUCCCAUCUCCCUAACUCUAACAUAUUCUCCCAACAUAACAUUACAAGAAAUACAAUCCGGAUCCUUAAUUUCAUCAAACACUUUCCUCGAAACAUCCACCAAACCAAAUCUCCCAUACAUUUCAAUCAACGCCGUCUGAACAAACAAAUCAGACCCAAAACCAUGUUUCAAACAAUAAGCAUGUAAAGAUUCCCCAUUCUCACUAUCAACCAAUCUCCCACACGACUGAAGAACCACCGAUAAGCUAAAACUAUCAAUACAAAUCCCAUCAAAACGACACAUUCGCAUAAAAAGUGACAGACUCUCUUCAGGGUUGUUUGAUUUUAGGUAACCUCUAAUCAUAGUAUUAAACAUGAAAGUAUCUGGUUGAGGAAUUGUGUCAAACAGAUUGCGGGCAUACGAGAUAUCAUCAGCGAUCGGUGUCAAUAUCUUACCUAAUAGCUUGGUUAGGACAACAACGUUGAUGUCUAAAGCGGUUUUGAGAAUUAAAGCAUGGAUUUGGAGAAGAUGGUUGAGGUUAGUUGAGUGUUGUAUAAGGGACAUUACAUUGUGUUUGAUGGUUUUAUAGGUUGGUCUCAUGUUUGAAUGUAACUGUAUUAACUACUUUUCGCGGUAUACUUACACUUGUACGUACCACCAUGAGCUGGACAGUUCUAAAAAUCGUCCAUUUGAUCAAUUAAUCACCCGAUUUAUUUACAAGAUAUUUUUAUUGAUUCAGUCUUUUAAAUAUGAUUAAAAAUAAUAUAUAUUUGUAGAACUAGUAUAAUUGGUAAAAUAAAUAUUAUGUCUUUUUGUAAUUGAACAUUUUUUGAAAAAAAAUGUUUCAUAAACAGUAACAUAUAAUUGUUAGAUUAACACUUGAUAAAAGCUAUUGAAUCAGUUCAAUAAUUUUGAUAACAAGUUAUUAAAUGAGACCAGAUUAAUAAUUUUAAUGAUGUGUAAGAUCUCAGUAUGAUUUUAUGGUAAUACUAUAUGGGGUUUUAAAUCAAAUAUAUGAACUGACUCUAACAAUUCCUAAUGGUCACCUACACAAUUACACCCUAAAAUUAAGGCUGAAACACACAAUAGCCAUUCAAGUUUACACCAAUAUGCAUGUCAACCCUCAAAGUUCAAAAAUGUUCGGUCCAGCCACCAAAGUUACAAGAAUGUAACUACUAGCCACAUGAGACAGAGAGUGCAUGGCACACUCCCUGCCUGAGACUUGAGAGUACACUGACAUAUACUCCCACACUAUGCAUGUCCUUUUACUCCUCCAUCUCAGUUAUUAUUUCAGUUCUAUUAGUUAAAAUUAUGUUAGUCCGAGUUUGAGAAAAUACAUUUUUUCGCCAACCAACUCAUUGUUUGUUUAGAAAUUUGCCACCGAACUAUAAUUUUUUUCCUUUUUGUCACUAAUGUUAGGUUCGGAUUUUUUGAACUAUAAUUUUUUUCCUUUUUGUCACUAAUGUUAGGUUCGGAUUUUUUUUAGUCACUAAGCCUAGGCUCAGAUUUGAUUACUAACAUUAUGUUAAUUUUUUAGUAUUAUUAAACUAUAGUGAUAGUCUGCAAUAUAUUAUGAAGAUCUGAUAUAUGUCUAUAUCUUUGUAUGUAGCACUUACGCAUGUCCCCUAGAUAGUUCACCUUGUAGGACGAGAGUUUGACAUAUAUUUUAAGGCUCCUACAAAAUUUAGUUUCAUGAAUUAUUUUAAUUUUUUUUCUAAGUAAAAGUUAUGAUUGUCUAUUGUUUAUAUUAUAUAUAGUUUCAUAAAAAUCAAGGUUAGAUAUCAUCUACAAUUAUUUAUACCAUUGUACAAAAAUAAGGACGAAUAUCAUAAAAAAAGUAAACGAUAUACAAUUAAUCUUUAUUUUACCCCUCAUUUAUGUUAUUAUUAGAGCAACCCCAAUGCAAGUUCUCCUUACUCAUAUUUGGUCUAGGUGGACAAGAUUUAGGGGUUAGGAUCAAAAAUCAAUCCUCCAACGCAGCUUCCCAUCCCAUAAAAAUUUUAGGGGAGAGAAAACUCAUCCCCUUAUUUGAGAGAGCAAAAAGCCAACCCCUUGUUAAAAUAAUUUAUGAAACUUAAUCGUUUAGGAGCCUUAAAAUAUGUGUCAAAUUUUCGUCCUCCAAGGUAAACUAGCAGGGGCACAUAUGGAGUACUACAUAUAAAGAUAUAAACACAUAUCAGAUCACCGUAAUAUUGCGGACUACCAUUAUGUUUCAAUAAUGCUAAAAAGAAUAAUAUAAUGUUAAUAAUCAAAUCCGAACCUAACGUUAUUGACAAAAAAAAAUCCGAACCUAACAUUAGUGACAAAAAGGAAAAAAAUUAUAGUUCAGUGACAAAUUUCUUAACAAACAAUAAGUUGGGUGGCGAAAAAAUCUACCGUCCGAGGUUUCUAACCUGCUUUGAUUAGCAGUGUCCGUGUAUGACUAGAAGAUGGCCGGGGCAGCUGUGUUUCUCAGUCGAUUAUUCUUAUUAAUAUAUUAAUAUAUUAUUAUUAAUAAAGUUACAUAUCAUUCGAAUUUGUGUGUAGAUAUUUAGUUUUUAUUUUGCAAAAUCGAGCAGCAUAUAUCUUCAGUACAUUAAAAUAAAAAGCAUCAAGUUUGGUCCUAAGAUAAUAUCGUAACAUUCUAUUUAUAAGUUAUUUUUUUAAUUAAAGUUAAUCAUUAUUAUAAUUUAUAAUAAACCAAAAAUAUAUUUAAUUUAACACACUCGAUGAUUUUAUUUUAAAUAAAACACGUUUAUUUUAUAAUUAUAAAAUCAAACACAUUUACUUUUUAGUUAUAAAAUCUUUUUGUUAAAAAAUAUAUAUUAUUCUUGAAUAACCUUUUCAUUAAAAAAAAUAUAUUAAAAUUAUUUUAAUAAAUAUUAUAAAUCACAUAAAAGUAUAACACGGAUUAUGAACUAAAAUAUUAUAUGAGAAAGAUAUUUAUAGUCUAGGCAGACCCGUCUCGAUCAAAGAAAGAGGUCAUGUUUAAAUUUAAAUAUGGGCACUUUUAUUAAUAAGAUACAUACCACAUAAAUAUGUUUUAUUUUAAAUUAAAUUAGAACUUGAAACAAAAACCUUUAACAAUACAUGUACAUCGUCGAGCCUUAUUUAAAUUUUUUGUUAAAUAUAUUAAUUUAUUUAAUACAAAAAAUAAAUUAUUAUUACUAUAAUAUAUAAUUUGUGAUAAGAAAUAAAAAUUAUAUAUUAAUUAUUUUACUAAAAUUAAUUAACAAUUUAAUACAAGAAGCUCAAAAAAUAAUUCAAUAAAUAACACAUAAAUUUAAAAUAAAAUACUAACAUAAAAAUAUACCAAAAAUAUACCAAAAGCGCUAAAAAAAAACUUUAUUAAUUAAUAAUACUAGGUGCAUUUAUUUUAAAAAGAACAAUGGGUGUUGCUGCAUAGUACUAUGGAGGCCAUAACGGUGAAAGGAAAAGGGAAAGGUACAUGCAUCUGUGCAGAGUGUAUGUCAGACAGUAAGACUACUCUCAGGCAGGGAGUUUGCCAUGCACUCUCUGUCUCAUGUGGCUAGCAGUUACAUUCUUGUAACUUCGGUGGCUGGACCGAACAUUUUUGAACUUUGAGGGUUGACAUGCAUAUUGGUGUAAACUUGAAUGGCUGUUGUGCGUUUUAACCUAAAAUUAAAAGUGAGAAAAAUCUUGAAUUCAAACCGAAAUCGAACUCAGAAAUAAAAAAAAAAAAACCUGACAAAAAUCGAACUGCAUAAAAUCGAGCCGAGCCGAAACUAAAAAUUUUAAAACCGAACCGAAUCUAACGGAUGAUGUUCCAGUUUUAAGUGAAAACCGAGCCAAAUAAAAUCUAACCAAACCGAUUAUAUAAAUAAAUAUUAUUAAAUAUUAUUUAUUUAUAUAAUAUAAUUUUAUAAGAUAAAUAUAUAAACCAAAUUAAUGUCAUAGUGUAUUAUGGGUUAUCAAUAUGUUAAUCGUAUGUCGCGGAGUAGUGUAACAGUAGCUAGUGGGGAAGUGAGUAUAAACCUCAUAAGUUUAAACAUAUAAGUAUGAUUGUUAUAUUCUGAGUGAAUAAGCACAAACAUAUGAGUCACAAGCAUGAUAUUAUUAAGUUACUUUAUAUGAUUAGGUUUUUGUUUAUAUUUUCGUUUUGUUGGAUACAAUUAAACAUACCUAAAUAGUUCUUUAUUCGAGCAAUUGUCUAAAUUUAAAUUUAAAAUUUCUCAUUAACAUUAAUCAAGUUAACCAAUUUAUUUAUCAAACUGGAAGUAUGUUUCUUGAUUUUAUUUUUUGCGGUUUAAAACUGAAAACGAACUGACCGAACCGGAGUUUUAAAACCGAAAUCGAAAAUGACAGUUCAAUUACGGUUGCGGUUUCAACUUUUAAAACCGAGGACUUUCGGUUUCGGUUUUACCCAAACCGAACCGAACUGAGGUUUGCUCUUCCCUAGUUAAAACAACUUUAUUCAAUUUUUUGAAUAAUACUAGCUCAUCAUUGAAAAUAUCUUACAAAAUCUCUUUUCAAUGUUAUUAAUGAAUUCUCAUGAAAUUAUUAAAUAUCUAAUUUAAGAAAAAGGAGGAAAUUGAAGAUAUUAACAUGAUUAUAACUACAUGAACACAACUUCAUUAAAUAAAAAAUAGCAAUAACCUUCCACGUCACUAUCAUGACGGAUCUUUCUUGAACCAUCGAGUCGUCAAUAAUAACAUAGCAAUAGGUUACAAGAAGUGCAUGCCUUAAACUCUUAAGAUGACUUCGACUCAUCAACAAUAACAUAGCAAUAGAUUAUAAGAAGAGGAUGCCUUGGACUCUUAAGAUGACUUUUAAUUUUGGUCUGAGUUUAUGAUAAGAGUUUGGGAUAUGUAGACCCCGAGCUUAAAUGGAUGACGGACCUAUAAAUAGUAAUCCCCCAACUGGUUUAAAAAGACCACAAACGCAAACCAAGAACAGCUUAAAAAAGUCCAUAGACGGGCUUGCAGAAUACAUGAUCCAAAUAAAAGUAUAUAUAAUUCAAAUAUGAAAAACAGGUCAACUUAUCAUAAAUCUCAAAUUUUGAUGAUCACAUUUUAGCAAACUGUCUCUAUAUAUCAGCUUAAUAUUAUUGUCUAAUUGUUAUAAUAAUGUGUUGUAUUUCAGAAUCUAAUCAAGUUUUGUAGGGUAUUAAAGUAUCAGAAUAAUAGCAAGCUUCUAUUUAAAAAACAAAUGCUACGACAGAGAACAGAAUUCUACGUAGAAUUAUAUUCAUUCUACGUAGAAUUCUACGUAGAGAACACAAUCUGAGCACAUAUGGAACUCAUAAUGAGAGGCUUUGAUAUGUACUAGAAAAACUGGUUCACAAACAAUAAAGUAUACCAAGAACCCACAUUCUGAACGUAAGCACAGGCAUGUUCGGAUCAUCAGUUUGCGUAACUAGUACAUUAGCAAAGGCGUCCUUUUCUAAUAUCUCAGAUAUGCAUAUAAAAGAGUAUACAUGUAUAAUAAAGAUACUAAACAAACUCAUCAACUAAAUAUUAGUGACCACAAAAACAAAUAAUUACACAACCACGUAAAAAAAGAGGAAACCAAAGAAAUAUUUGGAAGAGUCAUUUCAAAGCUUUCUAACAAUUACAAAACUAAUCUUUAAAAUCUGUGAUGCAAAAAGCCUGGAUGAUGACCUUCCGACAGAGAUAGCUCACGUUGCCUCUCAUCAUUCAUGUUGAUGACAAUGUUAUGCAAGAUGCAGCAGGCCUUGGUCAUACAUCGAAGCGUUUCAGGUUUCAUUACAGUUGUAAGAACCUUCCAUUCUUUCUUUAGCCUAUUAAAUGUCUCAGCACUCAUUCCCUCUUCAGGGGCAGAAGCAGGCCCACGGAGGUGGCGAUGGCCAUUUUCUGCCAAGACCUCCACAAAGGACCAUGUGACCUUAGCAGCGGUAAAUGAGUGCGUCCCAAUUUCACCACCAAUUGAAUUCAGCAACUUGCCCAAUUUUAGGCUUCUCAUAGCUAUGGCUACUUUAUCAACCACAGUUAAUUCCCUGUUAUCGUUAAAUUUAAAUAUUUGUGAAUUUGACAUAGGCUCCAUCACAAGAGAGCAUAAGUAUCUGAAGGUUCUCAUUGAGAUCCCGCAGUAUACUUCGACUCUGGUUGAGUCUUCCACGAGAGGAAAAUGUCCUGCAAAGAAGAGAAGAAAAUGCAUUUUUAUACAUACGACUAAGACACUGCCAUAAUGUGUUUAUCAGGCUUAAAACUUGAACAUAUUAGAUUAAUGCAUAACACCAUACUAUUCCAUUCAUUUCAGUAUACACUAUACAUACACACAUCGACCUGUAAACUGUAUAAACAAAAUGAAGCUAGAAUGUCAAAAAUGUAAAUCAGUAAACUGCUUGUGAUUAACACACAGGGAUAUAUCGCUUUCAGUAAGGUUCCAAUCUGCAAAGAAUGCUACAGCUUUCAUAUCAAAUCAGAAUCAAUAUGAACUGAUUAUAAGUGGAUACUUUCGGUAUUCAUAGCAAGUUACAAGCUCCCAGGAAAACAUUAUAUCUACCAUAAUAUAGCUGUUUGACUAAACAAACCCUUACAAGAACUAAGUAAAUAACAACAUAUUCGAAAACAACAGAUUAGAUAUUGUUCCAAAGACUAAAACAACUGGAAGCAGUUUGACCUUAAUUACUAGUUUGACCUUGUGGAACUGGAAAUAGAAGUAUUUUGAAUAGCGACUUGCCUAAAAUCAAUCCCUUGCUACUUUGGAAAAAAAGCUAGUCCUGAAUUCUCACUGGUGACUUAUAGAUCAUAUAAUCAGAAGAUGAUUAUACUCGGUAUAGUUUGGAUUUACCUCAUAUUUUCUUCUAUGUAUGCACCAAUGUCAAAAUCUGAAAUGCUUUCUUUCCCAUAUUAUAGAGUAUAAACAAAGAAACUAAAAUAUCCACAACUACAUACAAAUCACAUCACCUUCCUCAACUCCUUGCAAAUCUCAUGACUCUAAUCCCAUCAGCAAAAUUUAUAUACACAUUACAUAACUCCCAGAAUUAAAAUUUAAAUGUUUAUAUCUUCAUUGUACUAAGCGACAAUUAAAUUCUAGGUCAAAUAAGACUCCGAACUACAGACUGAGGAUUUAUUCAUUCUCUAUCUGAAGUGAUUUUCAAUAAAUCAAAAGACAAAUCAACUGGUCACAAAUUAGAAUUCAUCAAACGCAGAUGAACAAGCAAACAAAAAAUAAAUUCGGGAAAAAAAGGUAGUACAUACCAAACCAUAACGAAAUCAACAAGAACAAUUCAUCACCACCAAAUGAGAACUUAAGAAUUUGAAGAUUUACAUACCAGCAAUCCUCUUCACGAAUUCGGCAAACCAUAUAACGUAAUUUAAAGGGAAUUUGCCACAAUUAGCUUCACUUCUUUCCAUUCUUUUGUGGUUUGAGGAAUGGAGAUUGAUUUUCCUUGCCACCGUACAAUAACUCUAAAGUUUGCGACUUUAAAGUUUGUUGGAACACAAAAGUAUAUAAAGAGUGAGAUGGAUGGGUCUGGGAUGACGUCAACGUGUUGAUGGAGGUUAAAAGAAAUAGAAUAGUAUAAGGAGUAUGUUUGUGAAUACUGGGGGUCGGCUUCAUAUAUACAAAUUUAUCCUAAGGAAAUUGUAAUUGGGCAUAAAAUAAAUUUUAUUUCAAAGUUGUAGCUCAUAUAUGAAGUAAAAUAAAGUAAUUAAAAUAUACUCACUCCAUCCCAUAAANNNNNNNNNNNNNNNNNNNNNNNNNNNNNNNNNNNNNNNNNNNNNNNNNNNNNNNNNNNNNNNNNNNNNNNNNNNNNNNNNNNNNNNNNNNNNNNNNNNNNNNNNNNNNNNNNNNNNNNNNNNNNNNNNNNNNNNNNNNNNNNNNNNNNNNNNNNNNNNNNNNNNNNNNNNNNNNNNNNNNNNNNNNNNNNNNNNNNNNNNNNNNNNNNNNNNNNNNNNNNNNNNNNNNNNNNNNNNNNNNNNNNNNNNNNNNNNNNNNNNNNNNNNNNNNNNNNNNNNNNNNNNNNNNNNNNNNNNNNNNNNNNNNNNNNNNNNNNNNNNNNNNNNNNNNNNNNNNNNNNNNNNNNNNNNNNNNNNNNNNNNNNNNNNNNNNNNNNNNNNNNNNNNNNNNNNNNNNNNNNNNNNNNNNNNNNNNNNNNNNNNNNNNNNNNNNNNNNNNNNNNNNNNNNNNNNNNNNNNNNNNNNNNNNNNNNNNNNNNNNNNNNNNNNNNNNNNNNNNNNNNNNNNNNNNNNNNNNNNNNNNNNNNNNNNNNNNNNNNNNNNNNNNNNNNNNNNNNNNNNNNNNNNNNNNNNNNNNNNNNNNNNNNNNNNNNNNNNNNNNNNNNNNNNNNNNNNNNNNNNNNNNNNNNNNNNNNNNNNNNNNNNNNNNNNNNNNNNNNNNNNNNNNNNNNNNNNNNNNNNNNNNNNNNNNNNNNNNNNNNNNNNNNNNNNNNNNNNNNNNNNNNNNNNNNNNNNNNNNNNNNNNNNNNNNNNNNNNNNNNNNNNNNNNNNNNNNNNNNNNNNNNNNNNNNNNNNNNNNNNNNNNNNNNNNNNNNNNNNNNNNNNNNNNNNNNNNNNNNNNNNNNNNNNNNNNNNNNNNNNNNNNNNNNNNNNNNNNNNNNNNNNNNNNNNNNNNNNNNNNNNNNNNNNNNNNNNNNNNNNNNNNNNNNNNNNNNNNNNNNNNNNNNNNNNNNNNNNNNNNNNNNNNNNNNNNNNNNNNNNNNNNNNNNNNNNNNNNNNNNNNNNNNNNNNNNNNNNNNNNNNNNNNNNNNNNNNNNNNNNNNNNNNNNNNNNNNNNNNNNNNNNNNNNNNNNNNNNNNNNNNNNNNNNNNNNNNNNNNNNNNNNNNNNNNNNNNNNNNNNNNNNNNNNNNNNNNNNNNNNNNNNNNNNNNNNNNNNNNNNNNNNNNNNNNNNNCACUAUACAUACACACAUCGACCUGUAAACUGUAUAAACAAAAUGAAGCUAGAAUGUCAAAAAUGUAAAUCAGUAAACUGCUUGUGAUUAACACACAGGGAUAUAUCGCUUUCAGUAAGGUUCCAAUCUGCAAAGAAUGCUACAGCUUUCAUAUCAAAUCAGAAUCAAUAUGAACUGAUUAUAAGUGGAUACUUUCGGUAUUCAUAGCAAGUUACAAGCUCCCAGGAAAACAUUAUAUCUACCAUAAUAUAGCUGUUUGACUAAACAAACCCUUACAAGAACUAAGUAAAUAACAACAUAUUCGAAAACAACAGAUUAGAUAUUGUUCCAAAGACUAAGACAACUGGAAGCAGUUUGACCUUAAUUACUAGUUUGACCUUGUGGAACUGGAAAUAGAAGUAUUUUGAAUAGCGACUUGCCUAAAAUCAAUCCCUUGCUACUUUGGAAAAAAAGCUAGUCCUGAAUUCUCACUGGUGACUUAUAGAUCAUAUAAUCAGAAGAUGAUUAUACUCGGUAUAGUUUGGAUUUACCUCAUAUUUUCUUCUAUGUAUGCACCAAUGUCAAAAUCUGAAAUGCUUUCUUUCCCAUAUUAUAGAGUAUAAACAAAGAAACUAAAAUAUCCACAACUACAUACAAAUCACAUCACCUUCCUCAACUCCUUGCAAAUCUCAUGACUCUAAUCCCAUCAGCAAAAUUUAUAUACACAUUACAUAACUCCCAGAAUUAAAAUUUAAAUGUUUAUAUCUUCAUUGUACUAAGCGACAAUUAAAUUCUAGGUCAAAUAAGACUCCGAACUACAGACUGAGGAUUUAUUCAUUCUCUAUCUGAAGUGAUUUUCAAUAAAUCAAAAGACAAAUCAACUGGUCACAAAUUAGAAUUCAUCAAACGCAGAUGAACAAGCAAACAAAAAAUAAAUUCGGGAAAAAAAGGUAGUACAUACCAAACCAUAACGAAAUCAACAAGAACAAUUCAUCACCACCAAAUGAGAACUUAAGAAUUUGAAGAUUUACAUACCAGCAAUCCUCUUCACGAAUUCGGCAAACCAUAUAACGUAAUUUAAAGGGAAUUUGCCACAAUUAGCUUCACUUCUUUCCAUUCUUUUGUGGUUUGAGGAAUGGAGAUUGAUUUUCCUUGCCACCGUACAAUAACUCUAAAGUUUGCGACUUUAAAGUUUGUUGGAACACAAAAGUAUAUAAAGAGUGAGAUGGAUGGGUCUGGGAUGACGUCAACGUGUUGAUGGAGGUUAAAAGAAAUAGAAUAGUAUAAGGAGUAUGUUUGUGAAUACUGGGGGUCGGCUUCAUAUAUACAAAUUUAUCCUAAGGAAAUUGUAAUUGGGCAUAAAAUAAAUUUUAUUUCAAAGUUGUAGCUCAUAUAUGAAGUAAAAUAAAGUAAUUAAAAUAUACUCACUCCAUCCCAUAAAACAUGAGGUAAUCAAUUUUACGCACAUUUAAGAAAUUUGAGUAUGACUAUUUGAUAUGCAUUUGCAUUCACAAAAAAAUGAGUUAGUGGAUGAUGACUAAGCAUUUACCUGAACAUGUACUUAUAACUGCUUAGUCAUCAUCCACUAACUCAUCUUUUUGUGAAUGCAAAUACAUAUCAAAUAGUGAUACUCAAAGUUCUUAAAUGUGUGUAAAAUUGAUUAGCCCAUGCUUUAUAUAUGAGCUACAACUUUAAAAUAACAUUUAUUUUAUACUCAAUUACAAUUUCCUAAGGAUAAAUUUGUAUAUAUGAAGCCCACCCCCAGUAUUCACAAACAUACUCCUACUUUUACUAUUCUAUUUUCUUUAACCUCCGUCAACACGUUGAUGUUACCCCAAAUCCAUCCAUCUCACUCUUUAUAUACUUUUGUGUUCCAACAAACUUUAAAGUCGCAAACUUUAGAGUUAUUAUACGGUGGUAAGGAAAAUUAAUCUCUAUUCUUCAAACCACUUUCUUUUUAUAUCCUUUUGAUUUUAAGUUUUUAAUAACUUUACUUUAAGAGAGUGGAAAGAAGUGAAACCGAUUGUGGCAAAUUCCCUCUGAAUUAUGUUAUUUGGUUUGCCGAAUUCGUGAAGAGGAUUGUUGGUAUGUAAAUCUUCCAAUUUUCAUGUAUACUAAGUUGUUCUCAUUAAGUGGUGAUAAAUUGUUCUUGUCGAUUUCGUUAUGGUUUAGUAUGUAUUACCUUUUCUUUUUCGAAGUCAUUUUAUCUUCGCUUGUUCAUCUGUGUUUAAUGAAAUUUUAAUUUGUGACUAGUUGAUUUGUCUUUUGAUUUAUCGAAAAUUACUUUAAAUAGAAAAUGAAUAAAUCCUCAAUCUGUGGUUCGGAGUCUUAUUUGGCCUAAAAUUUAAUUGUCGUUUAGUACAAUGAAGAUAUGAACAUUUAAAUUUUAAUUAUGGGAGUCAUGUAAUGUAUUUAAAUUGUGCUGAUGGGAUUAGAGUCCUAAGAUUUGCAAGGAUUUAAGAAAGUUGAUGUGAUUCCUAUGUAGUUCUUGUGAAUAUCUUAGUUUCUUUGAUUAUACUCUUUAAUAUUGGGGAAAAAAGCAGUUCAAAUAUUGGCAUUGAGGCAUAAAUAGAAAAAAAAUGAGUUUAAUCCAAACUAUAGUGAGUAUAAUCAUCUUCUGAUUAUAUGAUUUGUAAAUCACCAGUUAUGAUUACUACUCGGUAUAUUUUGGAUUUACCUCAUAUUUUCUUCUAUGCAUGCCCACGAACUACUUAAAUCAUUCCCCGUCUACACUCAUCUUUAGUAAAUCAAAAUACAAACCAACUAGUUCCGAAUUAUAAUUUCAUCAAACACAGAUGAACAAGCAAACAUAAAAUUACUUUGCAAAAACAACAGGUAGCACAUACCAAACCAUAACGAAAUCGACAAGAACAGUUCAGCACCACCAAAUCAGAACUUAAUAUACAUGAGAAUUUGAAGAUUUACAUACCAGCAAUCCUCUUCACGUAUUGGGCAUACCAAAUAAUGUAAUUCACAUCAGGGAAUUCUCCAAUAUUUGCUUCACUGCUUUCUCUCUUAAAGCAAAGUUCUUAAAAACUUCAAAUUAGAAAGAGAUAAAAAGAAAGUGGUUCGAGGAAUGAAGAUUGUUUUUCCUUACCACUGGACAAUAACUCUAAAGUUUGCGACUUUAAAGUUUGUUGGAACAAAAGUAUAUAAAAUGUAUAUGUGUUCUAAAGCAAGAACUUAGAGAAUUUCAGACAAUGAUACAAAAGUUCUGCUUUUCUUGCUGAGGCUUCAACUUUGUUUACAUAAUAAUUACAUAAGUGAAUAUAUAAAUUUCUCCAUCCAUCACCUAGUACUCCAUGAGUUUCUGUAAAUGCUUUGCCGAUUCACAUCUGGGGUUUAGAAUUACGAGUCCAGAGUAUCUCCCGUACAUUUCAAUCAACGCCGUAUGAACAAACAAAUCAGACCCAAAUCCUCUAAUCAUCAGUAUCUAUAGUAUCUGGUUGGGGACUUGUGUCAAACAGGUGGCGGGCAUACGAGAUCUCAUCAGUGACCCGUGAGAUCUCAUCAGGUAGCUGGGUUAGGGUAACAUCUAAAGUGGUUUAGAGGAUAAGCAGAGAUUUGGAGAAGAUGAUUGCGGUUAGAUGAGUGUUCUCAGGGUUGAAUGUAUCGGCGUUCUUCACGAAGAUCCCGUUUAAUAUUUGAAACAUAUUUUCGUUAUUUGGGGUUAACAUUCUGAUUUUUUAUUUUUUUUUAAAUCAAUGAUCUAUUGAAAAAAUUCUCAUAAACUGAGGUGUAUUCUAUCGUAUUUUAAUGGACUGAUUUUAAAGGAUUGUAUGUAAUUUUGAUUUACGCGAAUUUUUGAAAAAAUGCUGAUAUAUUUUUUUUAAGAUUUAAGUAUAAUAUUUCAAAUUUUAAUGGAUUUUGGUGGUAUUUCAAAAUAAUUAAAAUUCACUCAAAAAUCUCACAAAAUAUAUAAUUUUAUGAAAUUCAUAAAAAUCCAAUAGCAUUUGUAUAUCAUUUGAAUUUUAAACAAUCCAAAUUAAAUGAAAAAAGGCCAUAACUGAAUUUUUGAGUUUAAUGCCAUGUAUAACAAAAUUUGAAAAAGUGGCCCCAAUUGACAUGUGAAGACAUUUUUAAAGGGAUAUGGCGAAAUUCACCUGCUGAUUCUUACAGACAUUAAAACAAUGAAAUUCACUUGCUGAUUCUUACAGACAUUAAAACAAUGAAAUUGUACUAUUAGUAAAGCACAUCAACUCAAGUUCAUUCUUACUUAAAACAGAAAAUGUUAUGGUAAUCUUCACUCCCAUCACUCCCAUCAUACUUUUUGAAAGGGCAAGGAGUCUGAGAUAACUUGAUGAGCACAGAGAGAGAUAGCUUUUUUCCCCCUUCUACUGAACUGAAGUUUUGGUUAUCAAUACACACACCUUUCUUAUGUAUACAAAAACUUGUUUUCCCAUAAUUUGUAAAACAAAAACGGGGUUAGGGUUUAUAAGUAGAAAUUGGGGUUUUUAAUUUGUAAAUUAAUUGUGGUUGAUUGGCUGUGUGUGAAAGGAAAGGGCAUGAAAAUGUGGGGAGGAGGCCGGAGUCUCGCGUCGGCGACGGAGACUCACGGCGGCAGAAGGGGAGACAGAUAGGCGGCCGUGGUGAGCUUGGUGCGGGGAGGAGAUUGAGGAGGUGAGGUGUGUGUACAGGAUAGAGAGAGCAACGAGGGAGGUCGCCGGAAAUUUCUCCGGCCAGGCCAGUGAGGGAGAUGAGGGAGAGAGGAGAGAUGGAGGAAGGAGUUUUUUUAUAUCAUCCUUUUAACUUUAGUUCCAUUUUAAUUUCAUUUUUCUUUUUUUAAUGUAGGUACAAAUCAGCUGGUGAUGUGUCGCCAUGUCAGCAUGAUUCAGCGGGUGAUGUGUCACCACAUCAACAAGAUUCUAACUCUGUUAGUAUCUACUUAACGGAAGGACUAGAUUCCAGCGUUUGGAAAAGUUUAAUGACCCUGUUUGAGGAAUCUUUUGCUUAGGGACCUAUCGAAUAAAAGUGGAUUAGUUUAGGGACGUAUGAAUAUAUUAUCCCCAUUUUUAAAAUAGCGUUUUAAGUAAAGGGUAAACGCUAUUGCGUGUGUUUACGGCUUUUUUCUUUUCUUCUUUUAUUAAACAAAAAAUAAAUAAUACAAUAUAAAGGAUAAAAACACUAGACGAGUUGGCGUUUUACCGUUAUAUAUAUAAGCAUAAGACGCCUCACGAACUAAAGUAGCGUCUAUAAGUUUUAUAUAUGGGUUUUGUUCCAUAGCCCCCGUAUGCCAUAUAAGCCUUAACCAACACACAGAAUCAGAAUCGUUAGAUUCAAUUUUUUUUUUUUGCCAUCCGUUAUAAUUUUUCGCGGAUCGGACUUCUCCAUUCCGCUGAUAUAAAGAGAAUUCAAUUGUUAUAAUGGAUUAUAAUGUAAGUUUUACAUUCUUUUGAAGAAUUGCAAUUUGAUUUAUAUAUAUUUGUCUUUAUAUGGAUUUUCAAUGUAUGUGUUCUAUGUGUUUGUUAAAGUGUCUAUAAGGAUUUACAUAUGAAGCAGUGGUUAGAAAUUGCUAGUAUUAUUUCUAAUUGAGUUGUAGUCACAUAUUACCAGUUAAGUUCCAGUUAUGUAAUGCAUAUUUGGAGCUUAAUUUUAGAAUUUGAAGCUUAUCUAUUACUCCCUCCAUCCCAUUUUAUGUGACCUCAUUUCCUUUUUGAGACGUCCAAUGAAUCUACAAUACUUACUAUUUUUGAACACUAUUUUUCACUAUUACACCCACUACCUCUAUAUUUUAUACUCUCUUUUUAUUAAAUAAACACUAUUACACCCACUACUUUCCUCCACUAUCUCAAAUCUAUUAUUAAAUAUUGAUGGGUCCCAUCACUUUACUCACUUUUCAACUACAUUUACUACCUUUUUCUUAAUCUCCGUGAAAGUCAAACCAGUUCACAUAAAUUGGGACGGAGCGAGUACUUCACUAUGAGAAAUCUGCUUAGGUUAUCCAUGUGUAUGCAGAAUACGUAAGUUUAGGAGCAAUAUAAUUGGAAAUGGCACUAGUUUAGGAGCAUCUUCUAUCUGAUCAACCCUACAGAGCCCACAUAUCAGAGAAUUGAAAGUGAACAUAUCUGGUUUACAUCCUCCGUUUACCAUGUCAGCGUAUAGUUCCAGAGCCUCCUUAACCUUCUCAUCCUUAGCUAAAGCAUGUAUCAGGCAGUUGUAUCCAACAGUGUUUAAGCAAAUCCCCAAUGCUGACAUUUCACGGACAGCUUCUUCUGCUUCCUUCAAUCUGCCGACCUUGCAGAACCCAUUGAUCAAACUCGUGUAUGUUAUUAGGUUGGGCUUGCAACCCAUAAUUUCCAUCUCUUUCAUCAAAUUUCGUGCUAAUUAAGAAAAAGAUUUUCUCGAACAUAGACCACGGAUGAUUAUGUUAUAUGUAUAGAUAUCUGGAUUGCAACCAACAGCGGGCAUCCUCUGCCUCAAAACAGCAUUGGCAUCAUCAAACUGUCCAUUGACCACAUGACCAUUAAUCAAAGUAUUGAACAAAACAACAUUAGGCUCAGGCACUCUGUCCAGCAAAGCUCUAGCUUUAUCAACUUGACCAGUUCGGCAUAAUCCAUCCAUUAAAAUUCCAUAAGUAAACUUGCUAGGAGUGAAGCCUCCGAGAAGCAUUCUAUCGACCAAUUUAGCACCUUCAGGUAUCCUCUUAGCACGGCAAAGACCAUGAAUAACAUCAUUAAAAGUAUCAACAUCAGGUGUGCAACCCAUCAGAAACAUUUCCUCCAAAUAUCUUAUCACGUCAUUUAUUCUGUUCACCUUACAAAGCGCAUGUAUAAGUGUCUGGUAAAUAACUGAAUUCGGCACACACCCAUGUUUUGUCAUAUCUCUUAAAAGUGAACAUGCAGAAUCCACCUCAUUAACCAUACAAAGCGCUUUCAUCAUCACCACACCGAACGUGAAAACAGUUGGAGAAAUCCCCUUGUGCAACAUCUCAUAAAAAAUAUUCGGUGCAACAGCCGAGCAAUCCCCAGCAACCAAAAUAUCCAGAACAACAUUAUAAGACCUAAAACUAUAUUCACAACUAAAAACAUCCCUCAUAUCAAAAAGUAACCGCGUCGAUUGACCAGGUAAACCAGCUCUACCAUAAUGCCUCAUUUUAGAAAUAAAAAGUGACUCCUGAAUAAAUACCCCUUCAUCUUUCAUUCGCAGCAACAAUCCAUCAAUCAACUUAAACUCCCCGGCCGCUCCAGGUUUAUUAAUCAAAGUACAAUACACAUUGAAUGUAUGAGUAUACCCCAUUUGAGUACCCGCCUUACAGAAAAAAUCCACAGAAGUAGGGACAUCAAGGGGGAGUUGAAGCAACUUAUUAAGCUGAUACGGUGUAAGUCGAUUAAGGGACUUUCGAAGCUGUUUAAUGUCACAUGGUUCAAGCAAACUUUCCCAAUCUGUUUCAGGGAAUGACCCAUUCUUAUAAUCAGAAUUACCAACAUUUCCAUCAUCCCCAAUUGAACUACAAUAUGUAAAGAUUGGAUUUUUAUACAAAGAUUGAACCUUUUUGACAAAAUGACACCCAAGAUUCUUUUUUGAGCAUAACUCUUAUUGGGCAAUUGUAAACAAGCAAAAGCUAAGCACACAACUGAUUGGCAUUACACAUACAUAAACUUUUCAGGGUUAUAAGCAACUGUGUGUAUACAUGUAUGUAUAUGUGCAUAUAGAGUUGCAAAAUAUAUGAGAAACAGAGCAGAAUAAAGAGCUCUAACCUGGGAACAAGUGUGUGUAUUUGCUGCAAAAAGCUUCUGCACUAAUUAUUCAGUGAGCAGCGGAUCGGGUCUAAAGUCAAAUUUUCAAAUCAAUUGGGUGUUUGUAUGUGCAUAUAAUUCAGCACACAAUAAAGCUGAUCAUGGCUUAUGGACCAGAAAGCUGCUUCUUUAGCUUUUUCAAAGUAAUUUUCUUUCAACAUUGCUACACACUAUGGUUUCAGCCGCAUUGCUUGUUAAUCAAUCUCGUCGAAUUGAUCUAUAUCAUCUACCCAUAAAGUUUCAUCAUCUAAUUGAAGCGCCCAAAAGUUUCCUCAUUUCUUUCUAUCAAUAUUCCCAUGUUAUAACUAGUACAUUAGCAAAGGUGUUCUUUUCUAAUAUCACGGAUAUUCAUAUGAAAGAGUACACAUGUAAAACAAAAAUACUAAACAAACUCAUGAACUAAAUAUUAAUGACCACAAAUAAUAAUCACACAAAAUACAAAUAAAAAAGCGGAAACCAAAGAAAUAUUCAGAAGAGAUGAUUCAAAACUUUCUAACAAUUACAAAACUAAUCUUUAAAAUUUGUGAGUCAUAAAGCCUGGAUGAUGACCUUGUGACAGAGAUAGCUAACCAUGCCUCUCAUCAUUCAUCUCAAUGACAAUGUUAUGCAAGAUGCGGCAAGCUGUGCUAAUACUUUGACGCUUCUCAGCUUUCAUUACAAGUGUAAGAACCUUCCAUUCUUCCUUUAGCCGCCUAUCCAUUGUCUCAGCAGUCAUUCUUUCCUCAGUAGCAGUGGCUGUCCCAUGGAGGUGGCGAAGGCCAUUUUCUACCAAGGCCUCCACAAAGGACCUUGUAACCUUAUCAGCAGUAAAAGAGUGCGUACCAAUUUCCUUACUGAUUGAGUUCAGUGACUUGCCAAAUUUUAGCCUUCUCAACGCUAUGGCUACUUUAUCAACCACAGUCAAUUCUCUGUUAUCGUUAAAUUUGUAUGUGUGUGAAUUGGACAUUGGCUCCAUCACAAGAGAGCACAAGUAUCUGAAGGUUCUCAUUGAGAUCCCGCAGUAUUCUUCGACUCUAGUCGAGUCUUCCGAGAGAGGAAAAUGUCCUGCAAAGAAGAGAAGAAAAUGCAUUUUUAUAAAUACGACUAAGACACUGCCAUAAUGUGUUUAUCAUGCUGAAAACUUGAACAUAUUAGAUUAAUGCAUAACACCAUACUAGUCCAUUCAUUUCAGUAUACAUACACAUAUCGACCUGUAAACUGUAUAAACAAAAUGAAGCUAGAAUGUCAAAAAUGAAGAUCAGUAAACUGCUGGUGAUUAACACACAGGGAUAUAUCACAUUCAGUAAGGUUCCAAUCUGCAAAGAAUGCUACAGCUUUCAUAUCAAAUCUGAAUCAAUAUGAACUGAUUAUAGGUGGAUACUUUUAGUAUUCAUAGCUAGUUACAAGCUCCUAGGAAAACAAACCCUUACAAGAACUAAGUACAUAACAACAUAUUCGAAAACAACAGAUUACAUAUUGUUCCAAAGACUAAGACAACUGGAAGCAGUUUGACCUUAAUUACUAGUUUGACCUUGUGGAACUGGAAAUAGAAAUAUUUUGAAUGUACUUACCUAAAAUCAAUCCCUUGCUACUUUGGAAAAAAAAGCUAGUCCUGAAUUCACUGGUGAUUUAUAAUUCACAUAACCAGAAGAUGAUUAUACUCAGUAUAAUUUCGAUUUACCUCAUAUUUUCUUCUAUGUAUGCCCCAAUGCCAAAAUCUGAAUUGCUUUCUUUCCCAUAUUACAGAGUAUAAACAAAGAAACUGAAAUAUCCACAAGAACUACAUACGAAUCACAUCAACUUCCUCAACUCCUUGCAAAUCUAAGGACUCUAAUCCCAUCAAAAAAAUUUAUAUGCACAUUACAUAACUCCCAGAAUUAAAAGUUAAAUGUUUAUCAUCUUCAUUGUACUAAGCGACAAUUAAAUUCUAGGUCAAAUAAGACUCCGAACCACAGAUUGAGGAUUUAUUCCUUCUCUAUCUAAAGUAAUUUUCAAUAAAUCAAAAGAAAAAUCAACUAGUCACAAAUUAAAAUUUCAUCAAACACAGAUGAACAAGCAAACAUAAAAUUACUUCAGAAAAAAAAAGGGUAGCACAUACCAAACUAUAAUGAAAUCGACAAGAACAGUUCAUCACCACUGAAUGAGAACAACUUAAAAUCCAUGAAAUUUUAAAGAUUUACAUACCAGCAAUCCUCUUCACGAAUUCGGC
rnacentral:lncRNA from 1 species